CCCUCCCCUCCCCCUCCUCAGAAAGCCUCCUUAGGGGCUCAAUCCAUUUCUUCUGUCAGGAGAUGGAGGCACAGGGAGAGAAAGAAGUGGGAGAGGAGGAUGCUGGAGAGGCAGGGAGGUGGCACAAACGAAGGCAGAGAACAGGAUCUGUCAACACUCCUACUACUUGCAAAGAGCUGGAGAAGAGCUUUUGCCGUUACUCCCUCACCGUGGCAGAAGUGACUUACCUGAUGGAUGACAUUAAAAGAAUUGGCCUUUUCUCUGGCUUACCAGCAUGGAGGCAGCCUAUUUUUUCCCGCCUACCUCUCCUUCUAGGUGGUGGUUUCUCUGCUCUCUCAUUUUGCCUGAAGGCCUGUUAUAAGCUAUAGGCCAGAAACUAGGUCUUCUGAAAUUAACAACAGAGAAGAAGAGCCUCCGAGCCCUGGGAGGAAGGACUGUAUCAGAUACUCUAAUUAUUGAUACUGCAAGAAAUACACUCACGGCUGCAGGUUUCCCAGAGAAGCUAAUCUUACCACUGUGGGUGGAGACCUGUCAGACUGUACCUGGGGCAUCGUUCGGAACUUCCAGGACUCCUGUAACCCAGCAGUAGAAGACUUUGUGAAAGCAGACAGCUGAUCCAAGGUCUGACAAAACAAGAAUUGAUUAUGUGGAUGAUGAGGGAAAUAUUGUCUUUGUUGGCAUUGUCUUUAAUGUUCUAUCUUUGAAGGGCAUACAAAGAAGCUCUUUGCCUGUAUUCUUGGGGCAUCUGUAGCUGGCUAUAUUUGAGCAAAGUGGAAUGUAAUACUGUCUGAACGGUGCCUCAUUCCAAUUGACCUCCCAGAAUUCAUGAAAGGCAGUCUAAGGAAAUCUUAAUAGAGGUAACAAACUAAUGAGUCACAAAGGAAUGUAUACACUUUAAAUAAGGUCACAAAGGAAUGUAUAUACCUUAAAUAAUGUCAUCCAACUGGUAGACUACCUUAUAGCAUUCUUGUGAGGAUUAACCUAAUAAUCUGUGAAAAAGGUUUACUGCAGUGCCUGGCCUGAAGUAGUGGCUCAAUAAAGGUUAUUUUUUAAGGUUA
rnacentral:lncRNA from 1 species